rnacentral:rRNA from 1 species
UACGGAGGGUGCAAGCGUUGUCCGGAUUCAUUGGGUUUAAAGGGUGCGUAGGCGGGUCUUUAAGUCAGGGGUGAAAUCCUGGAGCUCAACUCCAGAACUGCCUUUGAUACUGAGGAUCUUGAGUUCGGGAGAGGUGAGUGGAACUGCGAGUGUAGAGGUGAAAUUCGUAGAUAUUCGCAAGAACACCAGUGGCGAAGGCGGCUCACUGGCCCGAUACUGACGCUGAGGCACGAAAGCGUGGGGAGCAAACAGG